rnacentral:rRNA from 1 species
GACGAACGCUGGCGGCGUGCUUAACACAUGCAAGUCGAACGGAAAGGCCCUGCUUUUGUGGGGUGCUCGAGUGGCGAACGGGUGAGUAACACGUGAGUAACCUGCCCUUGACUUUGGGAUAACUUCAGGAAACUGGGGCUAAUACCGGAUAGGAGCUCCUGCUGCAUGGUGGGGGUUGGAAAGUUUCGGCGGUUGGGGAUGGACUCGCGGCUUAUCAGCUUGUUGGUGGGGUAGUGGCUUACCAAGGCUUUGACGGGUAGCCGGCCUGGGAGGGUGACCGGCCACCUUGGGACUGAGAUACGGCGCAGACUCCAACGGGAGGCAGCAGUGGGGAAUAUUACACAGUGGGCGGGAGCCUGAUGCAGCAACGCCGCGUGCGGGAUGACGGCCUUCGGGUUGUAAACCGCUUUCGCCUGUGACGAAGCGUGAGUGACGGUAAUGGGUAAAGAAGCACCGGCUAACUACGUG